GAUGAACGCUGGCGGCGUGCUUAANCAUGCAAGUCGAACGAAGCACUUAUGAUUGAGAUUUCGGUUGAUUGAUUAAGUGACUUAGUGGCGGACGGGUGAGUAACGCGUGGGUAACCUGCCUUGUACAGGGGGAUAACAGUUAGAAAUGACUGCUAAUACCGCAUAACCCGCUAAGGUCGCAUGACCUAGACGGAAAAGAUUUAUCGGUACAAGAUGGACCCGCGUCUGAUUAGCUAGUGGUGAGGUAACGGCCCACCAAGGCGACGAUCAGUAGCCGGCCUGAGAGGGUGACCGGCCACAUUGGGACUGAGACACGGCCCAAACUCCUACGGGAGGCAGCAGUGGGGAAUAUUGCACAAUGGGGGAAACCCUGAUGCAGCAACGCCGCGUGAGUGAAGAAGUAUUUCGGUAUGUAAAGCUCUAUCAGCAGGGAAGAAAAUGACGGUACCUGACUAAGAAGCCCCGGCUAACUACGUG
rnacentral:rRNA from 1 species